rnacentral:rRNA from 1 species
GUGCCAGCCGCCGCGGUAAUACCGGCAGCCCGAGUGAUGGCCGAUAUUAUUGGGCCUAAAGCGUCCGUAGCUGGCCGAACAAGUCCGUCGGGAAAUCCACGUGCUUAACGCGUGGGCGACCGGCGGAAACUGUCCGGCUUGGGGCCGGAGGACCCGAGGGGUACGUCCGGGGUAGGAGUGAAAUCCCGUAAUCCCGCACGGACCACCGAUGGCGAAAGCACUUCGAGAAAACGGAUCCGACAGUGAGGGACGAAAGCCAGGGUCUCCAACCGGAUUAGAUACCCUGGUAGUCC